rnacentral:rRNA from 1 species
AAUAGAUACCCGGGUAGUCCAUGCCGUAAACGAUGUCUACUAGCCGUUGGGGCCUUUGAGGCUUUAGUGGCGCAGCUAACGCGAUAAGUAGACCGCCUGGGGAGUACGGUCGCAAGACUAAAACUCAAAUGAAUUGACGGGGGCCCGCACAAGCGGUGGAGCAUGUGGUUUAAUUCGAUGCAACGCGAAGAACCUUACCUGGCCUUGACAUACUAGAAACUUUCCAGAGAUGGAUUGGUGCCUUCGGGAAUCUAGAUACAGGUGCUGCAUGGCUGUCGUCAGCUCGUGUCGUGAGAUGUUGGGUUAAGUCCCGCAACGAGCGCAACCCUUUUCCUUACUUGCCAGCAUUUCGGAUGGGAACUUUAAGGAUACUGCCAGUGACAAACUGGAGGAAGGCGGGGACGACGUCAAGUCAUCAUGGCCCUUAGGCCAGGGCUACACACGUGCUACAAUGGUCGGUACAAAGGGUUGCUACACAGCGAUGUGAUGCUAAUCUCAAAAAGCCGAUCGUAGUCCGGA